rnacentral:rRNA from 1 species
UACGUAGGGACCGAGCGUUGUCCGGAAUCAUUGGGCGUAAAGAGCGUGUAGGCGGCCUUUUAAGUCCUGCGUGAAAUCCUGCGGCUCAACCGCAGACGGUCGUGGGAAACUGGAAGGCUAGAGUGCGGGAGAGGAGAGUGGAAUUCCCGGUGUAGCGGUGAAAUGCGCAGAUAUCAGGAAGAACACCUAUGGCGAAAGCAGCUCUCUGGGACGGUACUGACGCUGAGACGCGAAAGCGUGGGGAGCGAACAGG